CAGCCGCCGCGGUAAUACGAAGGGGGCUAGCGUUGUUCGGAAUUACUGGGCGUAAAGCGCACGUAGGCGGAUAUUUAAGUCAGGGGUGAAAUCCCAGAGCUCAACUCUGGAACUGCCUUUGAUACUGGGUAUCUUGAGUAUGGAAGAGGUGAGUGGAAUUCCGAGUGUAGAGGUGAAAUUCGUAGAUAUUCGGAGGAACACCAGUGGCGAAGGCGGCUCACUGGUCCAUUACUGACGCUGAGGUGCGAAAGCGUGGGGAGCAAACAGGAUUAGAUACCCGCGUAGUCCCUGUCUCUUAUAU
rnacentral:rRNA from 1 species